ACGGGUGAGUAACACGUAAGUAAUCUACCUUCGAGUGGGAAUAACGUCCGGAAACGGACGCUAAUACCGCAUAAUGCAGCGGCACCUUAUGGUGACAGUUGUUAAAGGAGCAAUUCGCUUGAAGAGGAGCUUGCGGCAGAUUAGCUAGUUGGUAAGGUAAUGGCUUACCAAGGCUUCGAUCUGUAACCGGUCUAAGAGGACGGUCGGUCACACUGACACUGAAUAACGGGUCAG
rnacentral:rRNA from 1 species